ACUCAAAUGAAUUGACGGGGGCCCGCACAAGCAGCGGAGCGUGUGGUUUAAUUCGAGGCAACGCGAAGAACCUUACCCGGGUUUGACAUUCAGGUGGUAGCGAACGGAAACGGGAGCGACCCGCAAGGGAGCCUGAACAGGUGCUGCAUGGCUGUCGUCAGCUCGUGCCGUGAGGUGUUAGGUUAAGUCCUGUAACGAGCGCAACCCCUGCUGCCAGUUACAAGUGUCUGGCGGGACUGCCGGCGUGAAGCUGGAGGAAGGUGGGGAUGACGUCAAGUCAGCAUGGCCUUUAUGUCCGGGGCGACACACACGCUACAAUGGCCGGUACAGAGGGACGCCAAACCGCGAGGUCGAGCCAAUCUCACAAAGCCGGUCGUAGUUCGGAUUGCAGGCUGCAACCCGCCUGCAUGAAGCUGGAGUUGCUAGUAACUGCCGGUCAGCCACACGGCGGUGAAUACGUUCCCGGGCCUUGUACACACCGCCCGU
rnacentral:rRNA from 1 species